rnacentral:rRNA from 1 species
AUUGAACGCUGGCGGCAGGCCUAAUACAUGCAAGUCGAACGAGUGGCGGAGGGGUGAGUAAUGUCUGGGAAACUGCCUGAUGGAGGGGGAUGACUACUGGAAACGGUAGCUAAUACCGCAUACCAUCAGAUGUGCUCAGAGUGGAGUAGCUUGUUGGUGGGGUAACGGCUCACCAAGGCGACGAUCCCUAGCUGGUCUGAGAGGGUGACCGGCCACACUGGGACUGAGACACGGUCCAGACUCCUACGGGAGGCAGCAGUAGGGAAUAUUGGGCAAUGGACGCAAGCCUGAUCCAGCAAUGCCGCGUGUGUGAAGAAGGCCUUCGGGUUGUAAAGUACUUUCGGCAGAGAGGCGGUACCCGCAGAAGAAGCACCGGCUAACUCCGUGCCAGCAGCCGCGGUAAUUC